GACGAACGCUGGCGGCGUGCUUAACACAUGCAAGUCGAACGAUGAAGAAAAGAAUUGAAGCUUCGGCAGAAAUUCAUUUCGGAUUAGUGGCAGACGGGUGAGUGACGCGUGAGCAACCUACCUCUUACAAAGGGAUAGCCUCGGGAAACCGGGAUUAAUACCAUAUAACAUUGCGACGAAGCAUUUCGAUGCAAUCAAAGCUACGGCGGUAAGAGAUGGGCUCGCGUCCCAUUAACCAGAUGGUGAGGUAACGGCUCACCAUAGUAACGAUGGGUAACCGGCCUGAGAGGGUGAACGGUCACACUGGAACUGAGACACGGUCCAGACUCCUACGGGAAGCAGCAGUGGGGAAUAUUGCACAAUGGAGGGAACUCUGAUGCAGCGACGCCGCGUGAGUGAUGAAGGAAUUCGUUUCGUAAAACUCUGUUCUAUGGGAAGAAAAGGACUGUACCAUAGGAGAAAGCUCCGGCUAAAUACGUG
rnacentral:rRNA from 1 species